AAGAAGACGGUUGACGCGUAAGUGAAAUUCCCCUAAAUAUUCGUGUGUAUUUGUAUAUUUAAUUAUGUCUGUCAGAUUGAUCUCAAUAUACGUUUUUAUUUUGUUAGGGCAAUAAUAAAAUUUAGAACGAAAAAGAAUUACCGCAAUAGGAAGGACAUUACCUGGAUCAGAGUUCAGUGUCCUCAGCAAAAUAAUUCGGUCGAUUGCGGAUUUUUUGUAUUGAGAUUUAUGAGAGACAUCAUUGCGUUGAAUCGUAUAGACAUCCCAAAAAUGUACUUUGAGGAAUACAAAUCUUACUCAAGAGCAAAUUUGGAUGAAAUGAAGGAUGAAUUGUGUCAAUUCAUUGUUGAUCAAAGAAUCAUAUAGCUAGGUUGUAUAUUGUUGUACAUAUAUGUAUGGAAUGUUGUUGUUGUAUGCUGUUGUUGUAUAUAUGUUGUAUAUUGUUGUUGUACUUUUACUAAAUCAUGAAUAU